rnacentral:rRNA from 1 species
GAGUUUGAUCCUGGCUCAGAUUGAACGCUGGCGGUAUGCUUAACACAUGCAAGUCGAACGGAAACGAUACUAGCUUGCUAGUAGGCGUCGAGUGGCGGACGGGUGAGUAACGCGUAGGAAUCUGCCUGAUAGUGGGGGAUAGCCCGAAGAAAUUCGGAUUAAUACCGCAUAAUCUAUUCGUAGUAAAGUGGGGGACUUUCGAGCCUCACGCUAUCAGAUGAGCCUGCGUAAGAUUAGCUAGUUGGUAGGGUAAAAGCCUACCAAGGCGACGAUCUUUAGCUGGUCUGAGAGGAUGAUCAGCCACAUCGGGACUGAGACACGGCCCGAACUCCUACGGGAGGCAGCAGUGGGGAAUAUUGGACAAUGGGGGCAACCCUGAUCCAGCAAUACCGCGUGUGUGAAGAAGGCCUGAGGGUUGUAAAGCACUUUCAAUUGUGAAGAAAAGCUAGUGGUUAAUAGCCAUUAGCCUUGACGUUAACUUUAGAAGAAGCACCGGCUAACUCCGUGCCAGCAGCCGCGGUAAUACGGAGGGUGCAAGCGUUAAUCGGAAUUACUGGGCGUAAAGCGUGCGUAGGCGGUUUAUUAAGUCAGAUGUGAAAGCCCCGGGCUUAACCUGGGAACUGCAUUUGAAACUGGUCAACUAGAGUAUGGUAGAGGAAAGUGGAAUUUCUGGUGUAGCGGUGAAAU